AGGCUGGAGUGAAGUGGUGUAUCGUAGCCAAUGAGGUUUAUCCGAGGCGCGAUUAUUGCUAAUUGAAAAAUAUGAAUUACUGAUAUCAAUUUUCCCUUAUAACCCUGGCUAUCCUAUUGUAAUUGGGAAAAAAAGUAUAUAAAGAGACAGAAAGGCC
rnacentral:snRNA from 1 species